GGAGCUGGGAGGUGUGCUGUGAGACUUGGAAGAGCAGAAAACCAGAGUAAGGGAGACCCUGUCCCAGCAGGAGAGGGAGACUCUCUCCCCCAGUGUCUAAGGACUGAAGAUCUAAUCUGGUGUAAAACUGGUCUAAGCGGCAGGAGAACCAGACCCCUCGGGUCCAGCUCUGUCCUCCCAAAUGUGGGCUACAAUGAGCCGUCACUGAAACCAGCGGAAGUUACUCUUUCUCUUGGAUUCUGGCAGGUGCACUGGGGCUGCCCCUAGCCACCCAAUUCUAAACCAGACUCUGGGUCA